UACAGAGGGUGCGAGCGUUGUCCGGAAUCACUGGGCGUAAAGGGCGCGUAGGUGGCCCGACAAGUCUGUGGUGAAAGCUCGACGCUCAACGUCGAGUCGGCCAUAGAUACUGUUGGGCUGGAGCACUGUAGAGGCUAAUGGAAUUCCGGGUGUAGCGGUGGAAUGCGUAGAGAUCCGGAAGAACACCGGUGGCGAAGGCGGUGAGCUGGGCAGUAGCUGACACUGAGGCGCGACAGCGUGGGGAGCAAACAGG
rnacentral:rRNA from 1 species